UACGUAGGGGGCAAGCGUUGUCCGGAUUUAUUGGGCGUAAAGAGCUCGUAGGUGGUUCGGUAAGUCGGAUGUGAAAUCUCCAGGCUCAACCUGGAGGGGUCAUUCGAUACUGCCGUGACUAGAGUUCGGUAGGGGAGUGUGGAAUUCCUGGUGGAGCGGUGAAAUGCGUAGAUAUCUGGAGGAACACCGGUGGCGAAGGCGGCAUCCUGGACCGGUAUUGACACUGAGGCGCGAAAGCCAGGGGAGCAAACGGG
rnacentral:rRNA from 1 species